rnacentral:lncRNA from 1 species
UCAUUAACUAACUAAGCUGCAGCCAGUUGACUGGGCGAAGGACCAGGCUGAGACUGAUUAGGUCGUAUUCUUGACCUCGUUUCCAUGUUUCCGUGAACGCUGUCUGAGCGGGUUUCAGAACCUGCUCUGCCCCUCGAAGCUGCCUGAGGUGCGCAUCAUGUCUUGCUUUGGUUGUCUGUGGUCACAUACAUUCUGCUGAGUUUAAUUUGACUAAAGGACAAGGAUAAGGAAUUUUCCUUUCAGCAGUUUUGCGUGGUCAGCGGGGUCUGACCUGGAAGCAUCCAGUCACCGAGCACAAAGACUUCGGAGCCCGCGGUGCUGUUUUUUGUGGCAGCUGGGGAUUGUGGUAUUUAGGUUGUUCAUUGGAACUUCACGGCGUGAAUCCUGGCUUUGCAGGCCUUUGCUGAUUGAAACUGCCAGGACCAUCACUGGUCAUACCUUCUACAAGUGAGAGGACUCCUCUGGGACAGACGGUUACAAGUAGAAUUCCUGGGGUGAGGCCGUGUAUAUUUUGAAUUUGAAUUAAUGUUGCCAAAUUACCUUCCAAACACUGUGACCAAUUUAUGCCAACUGAUAGUAUAGAAAUGUAUCUGUUCCCUCUCCUCGUGUCAACAGACUUGGCAUGUGUCAUUGCAUUUCUGUAUUAGUGAAGUUGAGCUUUUUGUGUCAUUUUGCCAUUUGUUUACUUGUGCCCAUUUUUUUGUUCAUUUAUUACUUGUGCUAUUUGACAGUCUUGUGCUCUUCCUCUAGAUUGAUCUUACUUGCUUAUAUACUUUAGAUUUUCGAGAAACUUUUAAACUUCUGGAAGGCAAGAAUCAUGUCUCAAUCUGUUUAUACUCCUUUGGACUUAACACUGUGCUGUCUAAUUUUUGCAGCAUUUAUGAAAUUAAA